rnacentral:sRNA from 1 species
CACCAAUCAGCUUCCUUGC